rnacentral:rRNA from 1 species
UACGGAGGGUGCGAGCGUUUGUCCGGAAUCACUGGGCGUAAAGGGCGCGUAGGCGGCCGUGUAAGUCACUUGUGAAAUCCCGGGGCUCAACUCCGGGGCUGCAGGUGAGACUGCAUGGCUAGAGCUCGGUAGAGGCAAGUGGAAUUCCCGGUGUAGCGGUGGAAUGCGUAGAUAUCGGGAAGAACACCGGUGGCGAAGGCGGCUUGCUGGGCCGUAGCUGACGCUGAGGCGCGAAAAGCGUGGGGGAGCAAACAGG